rnacentral:rRNA from 1 species
GACGAACGCUGGCGGCGCGCCUAAUACAUGCAAGUCGAGGGAGAACCGAACCUUCGGGUUCGGGAGACCGGCGAACGGGUGAGUAACACGUGAGGAACCUGCCCUGUAGACCGGAAUAACCACGGGAAACUGUGGCUAAUGCCGGAUACUCUCGAAUGCCCGCAUGGGAGUUCGAGGAAAUGGUCCGCCGCUACAGGAUGGCCUCGCGGCCUAUCAGCUUGUUGGUGAGGUAAUGGCUCACCAAGGCGA